CCUACGGGAGGCUGCAGUGAGGAAUAUUGGUCAAUGGGCGCGAGCCUGAACCAGCCAAGUCGCGUGAGGGAAGACGGCCCUACGGGUUGUAAACCUCUUUUGCCGGGGAGCAACGGGCGCCACGUGUGGCGCCACUGAGAGUACCCGGAGAAAAAGCAUCGGCUAACUCCGUGCAGGCAGCCGCGGUAAUACGGAGGAUGCGAGCGUUAUCCGGAUUGAUUGGGUUUAAGGGGUGCGUAGGCGGAGCGAUAAGUCAGUGGUCAAAUUGAGGGGCUCAACCCCUUCCCGCCAUUGAAGCGGGCUCUCUUGAGUGGAAGAGAAGUAUGCGGAAUGCGUGGUGUAGCGGUGAAAUGCAUAGAUAUCACGCAGAACCCCGAUUGCGAAGGCAGCAUGCCGGCUUCCUACUGACGCUGAAGCACGAAAGCGUGGGGAUCGAACAGGAUUAGAUACCCUGUAGUC
rnacentral:rRNA from 1 species